CAGGGAUUAUCAUCUCGGGUUCUUUCUUCAACAUUUCCAUUAGAACCAACACCUUCGACACCACUUUAUGCUUCUCGGUGGCGUUUUCAAGAUCAUGGACCCUCUUGUCCUUGCUCCUGUCUUGCACUCUCUUGCUGGUGGUCAUGAAUCUAUGCUGCGGCCAUGUAAGUAAAACCUGGCCAAAACUCCAGUUUCUUCUCAGGGUAGGCGAACGCACUGGCGAGGCGACAAAGCAACUGAACUCUCUUGCCACGCCCCAUUCAUUCGAGGAAGCUACGAUUUUACUAAUGAUUCGAAGACGGGUCAUCUCAAGAUGCUAGUGUCUCGCUCCAAAUUCAAGAAACAAGCCCAAGAAAAGCAAACGUCUCUCACUCAGGACAAACAUCAAACACCUUACGUGCACUGGAACGAGGAACAACAAGAACCCGAGACGAAAGUUUUCGAGAAGAUGGCCGUGAAUGCGAGAUUAUAACACCUCUCUUGGAUCGCUCGAUCAGCAUCAGUUUCGACUUCGACAGAAGCCGGUUGGGAUUUCAGGACGUGGAUUGUGCUGAGAACGAAGGAGAAGAAGAAGAAGAAGAAGAAGCGAGGCGCGAAGAAGAG
rnacentral:lncRNA from 1 species